CGAAAGCCUGAUNGAGCNACGCCGCGUGCAGGAUGAAGGCCUUCGGGUCGUAAACUGCUUUUNUAAGUGAAGAAUAUGANNGUAGCUUAUGAAUAAGCNCCGGCUAACUACNUGCCAGCAGCCGCGGUCAUACGUAGGGUGCNAGCAUUAUCCGGAAUGACUGGGCGUUAAGAGUUGCGUAGGUGGUUUGUUAAGUGAAUNGUGAAACCUGGUGGNUCAACCACACAGGACAAUUAUUCAAACUGACNAACUCGAAAGUAGCAGAGGUUNCNGGAAUUUCUAGUGUAAGAAUGAAAUCCGUAUAUAUUAGAAGGAACACCNAUGGCNUAAGCAGGUUACUGGGCUAUUUCUGACACUAAAGCACGAAAGCGUGGGGAGCGAACCGGAUUAGAUACCCNGGUAGUCCACGCCCUAAACAAUGGAUACUAUCUGUUGGAGGUAUCGACCCCUUCAGUAGCGAAGCUAACGCGUUAAGUAUCCCGCCUGUGGAAUACNGUCGCAAGACUAAAACUCAAAUGA
rnacentral:rRNA from 1 species